rnacentral:lncRNA from 10 species
GGGCCCAGCCCUGUUCCUGCUCCGGCUCCUGCGGGGAUGGAUGCUUCACGCAGUAAGCGACCUAAGUCGCGGAAGCGUAGACACCCGGCUUUUCCCGCGUGCUCUAUCGGGCUCCCCUGGACACGGAGGGUGGAGCAGAAAGAGCAGAGGGGCCGGUGGGAGCCAUGGGGAGUCCGCCUAGCUCCAGAGGACACCUUACCUGGAUCCGCCUUUGUAGCCUCCUCCUGGCUCUGGGGGCUGUCCUGUGGGGUCCGAGUAGCUGAAAGACAGCCCCUCCAUGAAAGUGCUGCUUUCAACAUCUGCCACAUUUGCAAGAAGAGCAAAGGUGGCCCAUUUGAGACCACCCUUGAACUAAACCAUCCAGUGAGCCCCUGAGGUCGGGACAGAAGUGGCCAUGACCUUCCUCAAGCAGGGACUGUGGUGGAGCCCACCUUAUCCAGCACAAGGUGGCCUGCUGACUUCUGGUGACAGUGAUGCCAACUUCCUGGCUGUCCAAGGUUCAAAUCUUGGUCUUAAUCCUCCUGGCCUUCUCUCAUCAAUGGCCAGAGCCACCCUAGCUAACAAGGUGCCCAGGGACUCCGGGGUGGGAGAAGUCCAGCUUCUUCUUAGCUGAGGACAUUUGAGUCUCGUCACAGCCCCCAAAAGAAUACUCAUUUUUGUAGCUGGAGGGCCUGGCCUCUGUCUAUCUUUGCUUUUCCAGAAGCUGACAAGUACCUGCCGGAAAAACUGCCUCUUUUCCCUCCCGUGCUUGGAGCAGGCAUUGCUGACAGAUCACAGCUGCUGGGCCCAAAGGUCCCUUUGCACGCGGGACUUCAGGAAGUUGCUGCUGACCUAUGGGAGUUGGUGCAGAAAGAUGAAAUUUGUUAUCCUUGGCUGUAUCAACUCUCUCUCCUCUCCUUGGUGGUGAUAGUUUUGUUCUUAAAAGCCUCUUGUGAGAGAAUUUGUGGAUGAAGAACCUGUAAGAUCACAAGUGAAACAAUUUAUUGAUGUCAAUAGAUUUAUACACGUUCAUUAAGAAUCAAAACUAAACUAAAACAUCAGUCUGACUAAAGAGACCACCACAGAUAUUUCAUAUGCUGUACAUCAGUAACAAAGGGUACCAAAUAGUUAAUAUCCAUGUACUAGUCACAUGAGAAAUGUUUUAGGGUCAUUGACCAGUGUAGUCAGUACAGUGGUCCCAUGGUAUUUGUGGGGGAUUGGUUCCAGGAAUCUCUUGGACACCAACUCCGUGGAUGAUCAGACAAUAUAAAAUGUGGGUCAGGUGCGGUGGCUCAUACCUGUAAUCCCAGCAUUUUGCGAGAAUCACUUGAGGCCAGUUCAAGAUCAGCCUGUGCAACAUAGCAAGACUCCACCUCUAAAAAAAAAAAAAAAAAAAAAAAUUAGCCCAGUGCAGCGGUGUGCACCUGUAGUCCCAGCUUCUCAUGAGGUUGAGGUGAAAAGAUCACUUGGGCCCAGGAGUUUGAGGCUGCAGUGAGCUGUGACUGCCACUGCACUCCAGCCUGAGUGACAAAGCAAGUCCCUGUCUCUUAAAAAAUAAAAUAAAAUAAUAGCAUUUGAAUGUAACCUACACACAUCUCCCAUAUACUUUAAAUCAUCUGUAGAUUGCUUAUAAUACCUAAUACACUGUAAAUGCUAUGUAAA